AUUGAACGCUGGCGGCAUGCUUUACACAUGCAAGUCGAACGGUAACAGGCCGCAAGGUGCUGACGAGUGGCGAACGGGUGAGUAAUGCAUCGGAACGUGCCCAGUCGUGGGGGAUAACGCAGCGAAAGCUGCGCUAAUACCGCAUACGAUCUAUGGAUGAAAGCGGGGGACCGUAAGGCCUCGCGCGAUUGGAGCGGCCGAUGUCAGAUUAGGUAGUUGGUGGGGUAAAGGCUCACCAAGCCAACGAUCUGUAGCUGGUCUGAGAGGACGACCAGCCACACUGGGACUGAGACACGGCCCAGACUCCUACGGGAGGCAGCAGUGGGGGAAUUUUGGACAAUGGGCGCAAGCCUGAUCCAGCAAUGCCGCGUGCAGGAAGAAGGCC
rnacentral:rRNA from 1 species